rnacentral:rRNA from 1 species
CUCCUACGGGAGGCAGCAGUGGGGAAUUUUGGCGUCAAUGGGGGAAACCCUGACGCAGCAACGCCGCGUGGAGGAUGAAGCCCCUUGGGGUCGUUAAACGUCCUUUCGACCUAAGACGAUAAUGACGGUACUGGUGGAAGAAGCACCGGCUAACUCUGUGCCAGCAGCCGCGGUAAUAC